rnacentral:rRNA from 1 species
UGGCGACCGGCGCACGGGUGCGUAACGCGUAUGCAACCUACCUUUUACAGGGGCAUAACACUGAGAAAUUGGUACUAAUUCCCCAUAAUAUCUGAGACGGCAUCGUUUUGGGUUGAAAACUCCGGUGGUCAGAGAUGGACAUGCGUUGUAUUAGCUAGUUGGUGAGGUAACGGCUCACCAAGGCGACGAUACAUAGGGGGACUGAGAGGUCAACCCCCCACAUUGGUACUGAGACACGGACCAAACUCCUACGGAAGGCAGCAG